rnacentral:rRNA from 1 species
AGGGUUUGAUCAUGGCUCAGAACGUACGCUGGCGGCACGCCUAACACAUGCAAGUCGAACGAAGUAGCAAUACUUAGUGGCAGACGGGUGAGUAACAUGUGGGUAUCUGCCCUUUGGCCUGGAAUAACACGAGGAAACUUGUGCUAAUACCGGAUAAGUCUUUACGGAGAAAGCUUUAUGCACCAUUGGAUGAGCCCGCACUUGAUUAGUUUGUUGGUGGGGUAAUGGCCUACCAAGACUGUGAUCAAUAGCUGAUUUGAGAGGAUGAUCAGCCACAUUGGGACUGAGACACGGCCCAAACUCCUACGGGAGGCAGCAGUGGGGAAUCUUGCACAAUGGAGGAAACUCUGAUGCAGCGAUGCCGCGUGAGUGAAGAAGGCCCUUGGGUUGUAAAGCUCUUUCGUCGGGGAAGAAAAUGACUGUACCCGAAUAAGAAGGUCCGGCUAACUUCGUGCCAGCAGCCGCGGUAAUACGAAGGGACCUAGCGUAGUUCGGAAUUACUGGGCUUAAAGAGUUCGUAGGUGGUUGAAAAAGUUGGUGGUGAAAUCCCAGAGCUUAACUCUGGAACUGCCAUCAAAACUUUUCAGCUAGAGUAUGAUAGAGGAAAGCAGAAUUUCUAGUGUAGAGGUGAAAUUCGUAGAUAUUAGAAAGAAUACCAAUUGCGAAGGCAGCUUUCUGGAUCAUUACUGACACUGAGGAACGAAAGCAUGGGUAGCGAAGAGGAUUAGAUACCCUCGUAGUCCAUGCCGUAAACGAUGUGUGUUAGACGUUGGAAAUUUAUUUUCAGUGUCGCAGCGAAAGCAUUAAGCACACCGCCUGGGGAGUACGACCGCAAGGUUAAAACUCAAAUGAAUUGACGGGGACCCGCACAAGUAGUGGAGCAUGUGGUUUAAUUCGAAGAUACGCGCAGAACCUUACCAACACUUGACAUGUUCGUCGCGACUCUGAGAGAUCAGAGUUUUCGGUUCGGCCGGACGAAACACAGGUGCUGCAUGGCUGUCGUCAGCUCGUGUCGUGAGAUGUUGGGUUAAGUCCCGCAACGAGCGCAACCCCUACCUUUAGUUGCCACCAUUAAGUUGGGCACUUUAAAGGAACUGCCAGUGAUAAGCUGGAGGAAGGUGGGGAUGACGUCAAGUCCUCAUGGCCCUUACGUGUUGGGCUACACACGUGCUACAAUGGCACUUACAGUGGGAAGCUAAGACGCGAGUCCAAGCUAAUCCCUAAAAUGUGCCUCAGUUCGGAUUGCACUCUGUAACUCGAGUGCAUGAAGCUGGAAUUACUAGUAAUCGCGGAUCAGCGUGCCACGGUGAAUGCGUUCCCGGGUCUUGUACACACCGCCCGUCACACCAUGGGAGUUGGUUCUACCUUAAGGCAAGGUUUCAAACCCUUGACCACGGUAUAGUCAGCGACUGGGGUGAAGUCGUAACAAGGUAGCC